GUUCCCAUACCGAACACGGAAGUUAAGCUCUUCAGCGCCGAUGGUAGUUGGGGGUUUCCCCCUGUGAGAGUAGGACGCCGCCAAGC
rnacentral:rRNA from 4 species